rnacentral:rRNA from 1 species
CCUACGGGAGGCAGCAGUGGGGAAUCUUGCGCAAUGGGCGAAAGCCUGACGCAGCAACGCCGCGUGGGGGAUGAAGGCUCUCGGGUUGUAAACCCCUUUCAGCAGGGACGAUAGUGACGGUACCUGCAGAAGAAGCUCCGGCCAACUACGUGCCAGCAGCCGCGGUAAU